AAGAUGCUACAGAGACAACUGUAGAAACUGGUUGAGCUAAGGUAGCUUUAGCUAGUGUUGGGGUCAAACCAGUACUAUUAUCGGAAAUAUUUGCACGAGAAGCCAAAGAAGUAAGAUCUUCUUUAUAGGCGAGUUCAGCUGAUAGCUCAAGCGGAGUAGGGACAGCUGAAAGUAGAGUACGUUGUGAGUUAGGUGAUUCCGAUAAUU